rnacentral:rRNA from 1 species
GACGAACGCUGGCGGCGUGCUUAACUCAUGCAAGUCGAACGAAGAGCGAUGGAAGCUUGCUUCUAUCAAUCUUAGUGGCGAACGGGUGAGUAACGCGUAAUCAACCUGCCCUUCAGAGGGGGACAACAGUUGGAAACGACUGCUAAUACCGCAUACGAUCUAAUCUCGGCAUCGAGGAAAGAUGAAAGGUGGCCUCUAUUUAUAAGCUAUCACUGAAGGAGGGGAUUGCGUCUGAUUAGCUAGUUGGAGGGGUAACGGCCCACCAAGGCGAUGAUCAGUAGCCGGUCUGAGAGGAUGAACGGCCACAUUGGGACUGAGACACGGCCCAGACUCCUACGGGAGGCAGCAGUGGGGAAUCUUCCGCAAUGGACGAAAGUCUGACGGAGCAACGCCGCGUGAGUGAUGACGGCCUUCGGGUUGUAAAGCUCUGUUAAUCGGGACGAAAGGCCUUCUUGCGAACAGUUAGAAGGAUUGACGGUACCGGAAUAGAAAGCCACGGCUAACUACGUG